GGCGGCGUGCCUAAUACAUGCAAGUCGAGCGAGCUUGCCUAUAGAAGUUCUUCGGAAUGGAAAUAGAUACAAGCUAGCGGCGGGAUGGGUGAGUAAACGCGUGGGUAACCUGCCCUUAAGGUCUGGGGAUACCAUUUGGAAACAGAUGCUAAUACCGGAUAAAAGCUACUUUCGCAUGAAAGAAGUUUAAAAGGCGGCGUAAAGCUGUCGCUAAAGGAUGGACCUGCGAUGCAUUAGCUAGUUGGUAAGGUAACGGCUUACCAAGGCGAUGAUGCAUAGCCGAGUUGAGAGACUGAUCGGCCACAUUGGGACUGAGACACGGCCCAAAACUCCUACGGGAGGCAGCAGUAGGGAAAUCUUCCACAAUGGACGAAAGUCUGAUGGAGCAACGCCGCGUGAGUGAAGAAGGUUUUCGGAUCGUAAAGCUCUGUUGUUGGUGAAGAAGGAUAGAGGUAGUAACUGGCCUUUAUUUGACGGUAAUCAACCAGAAAGUCACGGCUAACUACGUGCCCAGUAGCCGCGGUAAU
rnacentral:rRNA from 1 species